rnacentral:rRNA from 1 species
CCUACGGGCGGCAGCAGUGGGGAAUAUUGCACAAUGGGCGCAAGCCUGAUGCAGCCAUGCCGCGUGUGUGAAGAAGGCCUUCGGGUUGUAAAGCACUUUCAGCGGAGAGGAAGGCGGUGAGGUUAAUAACCUCAUCGAUUGACGUUACCCGCAGAAGAAGCACCGGCUAACUCCGUGCCAGCAGCCGCGGUAAUACGGAGGGUGCAAGCGUUAAUCGGAAUUACUGGGCGUAAAGCGCACGCAGGCGGUCUGUCAAGUCGGAUGUGAAAUCCCCGGGCUCAACCUGGGAACUGCAUUCGAAACUGGCAGGCUAGAGUCUUGUAGAGGGGGGUAGAAUUCCAGGUGUAGCGGUGAAAUGCGUAGAGAUCUGGAGGAAUACCGGUGGCGAAGGCGGCCCCCUGGACAAAGACUGACGCUCAGGUGCGAAAGCGUGGGGAGCAAACAGGAUUAGAUACCCGGGUAGUC